rnacentral:rRNA from 1 species
UACGAAGGGGGCUAGCGUUGCUCGGAAUUAUUGGGCGUAAAGGGCGCGUAGGCGGCCAUUCAAGUGACGGGUGAAAGCCCUCGGCUUAACCGAGGAACUGCCUGUCAGACUGGAUGGCUUGAGACCGGGAGAGGUGAGUGGAAUUCCCAGUGUAGCGGUGAAAUGCGUAGAUAUUGGGAGGAACACCAGUGGCGAAGGCGGCUCACUGGACCGGAACUGACGCUGAGGCGCGAAAGCGUGGGGAGCAAACGGG